UACGAAGGGGGCUAGCGUUGCUCGGAAUCACUGGGCGUAAAGGGCGCGUAGGCGGAUCUUUAAGUCGGGUGUGAAAUCUUGGAGCUUAACUCCGAAACUGCAUUCGAUACUGCCGUGCUUGAGGACUGGAGAGGAGACUGGAAUUUACGGUGUAGCGGUGAAAUGCGUAGAUAUCGUAAGGAAGACCAGUGGCGAAGGCGGGUCUCUGGACAGUUCCUGACGCUGAGGCACGAAGGCCAGGGGAGCAAACGGG
rnacentral:rRNA from 1 species